rnacentral:rRNA from 1 species
GACGAACGCUGGCGGCGUGCUUAACACAUGCAAGUCGAACGGAAAGGCCCUGCUUUUGUGGGGUGCUCGAGUGGCGAACGGGUGAGUAACACGUGAGUAAACUGCCCUUGACUUUGGGAUAACUUCAGGAAACUGGGGCUAAUACCGGAUAGGAGCUCCUGCUGCAUGGUGGGGGUUGGAAAGUUUCGGCGGUUGGGGAUGGACUCGCGGCUGAUCAGCUUGUUGGUGGGGUAGUGGCUUACCAAGGCUUUGACGGGUAGCCGGCCUGAGAGGGUGACCGGCCACAUUGGGACUGAGAUACGGCCCAGACUCCUACGGGAGGCAGCAGUGGGGAAUAUUGCACAAUGGGCGGAAGCCUGAUGCAGCAACGCCGCGUGCGGGAUGACGGCCUUCGGGUUGUAAACCGCUUUCGCCUGUGACGAAGCGUGAGUGACGGUAAUGGGUAAAGAAGCACCGGCUAACUACGUG